CCUACGGGAUGCUGCAGUGGGGGAUAUUGCACAAUGGGGGAAACCCUGAUGCAGCGACGCCGCGUGAGUGAAGAAGUAUUUCGGUAUGUAAAGCUCUAUCAGCAGGGAAGAAAAUGACAGUACCUGACCAAGAAGCCCCGGCUAACUACGUGCCAGCAGCCGCGGUAAUACGUAGGGGGCAAGCGUUAUCCGGAUUUCCUGGGUGGAAAGGGAGCGUAGACGGGUAUGUAAGUCUGGAGUGAAAGCCCGGGGCCCAACCCCGGGACUGCUUUGGAAACUGUGUAACUGGAGUGCAGGAGGGGCAGGCGGAAUUCCUGGUGUAGCGGUGAAAUGCGUAGAUAUCAGGAGGAACACCGGCGGCGAAGGCGGCCUGCUGGACUGAAACUGACGUUGAGGCUCGAAAGCGUGGGGAGCAAACAGGAUUAGAUACCCGGGUAGUC
rnacentral:rRNA from 1 species